AUUGUCUGUCUUCUCCCUUCCCUGCUCCAUGAAAUCCAGAGUUGUCAAAGUGGUGAGGAUGAAGAAGAAGAUGAAGACAAGGAAAAAACAUUUGAAGAGAAAGAGAUGGAGAAGCAAAAAACCCUCUAUCAGCAAGCUCGGCUGCAUGAGCGUGGUGCUGC
rnacentral:sRNA from 1 species